ACCUUAAAUAAUCACAAAUGGAUCCUAUCACUUCACAUGUGACCACCAAAAAUUACUAAAAUAGCAUGUAAAAUCAAUAGGAAACAUAUUAAAUAUGUUCAAUACUAUUUCAACUACAAGAAGAAAAUCGUACAAAUUCUUAACAGCAUAGAAUAUUGCUGCAAGUGCCAAUUACUCAUUAUGAUUCCAUUAGACUGAAAUUUAAAUUCCCAGUUGGCAACCAUAAAAUUUUACCAGAGAUGAGUAUGAAAACAACCAUAAGAGAAUACGCCUCUGAUGUGAUAAAAUGCUAAGAGCCCACUCAAAAUCACAUACCUUGCCUUCAUCAGCAUCUGAAUG
rnacentral:misc_RNA from 1 species